GUGCAGCGUUGGAGAGCUGCCCGGCUGGUGACCACAUCCACACGGCGGGGCUGACUCACCCCUCUCCGUGGGGGCGCACACUCCUGCCCUUGGGACCCACCCAGACCUCCCCCGAUGUCUCUCUCCACCUGGCUGUUCAUCUGUAUCCUUCACCAUAUCCUUUAAUGAGCUGGUAAACAGAAGUCCGCGGUCCGCUCUAGCAGAUUAGUCAAGCCCGAGGAGGCCGCCGUGCAAACCUCCAUCUAUAGCCGGUAGGUUGGCUAUAGCCAGGUGGUUCCGACCGGCGUCUGCAGCUGUGUGAUGGGAAAAUCUGGUGGCCCUGGGCCCCUGACCUGUGGAUCGGACUUGGUCUCCAGGCAGAUAGUGUCCGAAUGGAGUUAAAGUGCAGGGCACCCUGCUGGGGGCACAGAGAAUGGCCGGGUGAGGGGAAAACCCCACACAUUCAGUGGCCCAAGCUACAUACUGUAGGAUCUCCGUAGGACAUUCUGGAAAAGGCAAAACUGCGGAGGCGAGAAAGGGCAAGAGAGGGAGCGAGACAUCAAUGCAAGAGAGAAACAUGAAUCUGUCACCUCUCGCAGGUGCCCCGACCGGGGACGGAACCUGCAACCCAGGCGUCUGCCCUGACCGGGGACCCUGUGACCUUCUGCUUUGCGGGACAACACCCAACCCAGUGAGCCUCACUGGUCAGGGCUAUUAAAUGCAU